GACGAACGCUGGCGGCGUGCUUAACACAUGCAAGUCGAACGCAGUGGCGAACGGGUGAGUAACGCGUAAUCAACCUGCCCUUCAGAGGGGGACAACAGUUGGACACGACUGCUAAUACCGCAUACUGAAGGAGGGGCUUGCGUCUGAUUAGGUAGUUGGAGGGGUAACGGGCCACCAAGGCGAUGAUCAGUAGGCGGGCGGAGGGGAGGAACGGGCACAUUGGGACUUGGACACGGCCCAGACCCCUACGGGAGGCAGCAGGUGGGAAUCUUCCGCAAUGGACGAAAGUCUGACGGAGCAACGCCGCGUGAGUGAAGACGGCCUUCGGGUUGGAAAGCUCUGUUAAUCGGGACGCGGUACCGGAAUAGAAAGCCACGGCUAACUACGUGCCAGCAGCCGCGGUAAUAC
rnacentral:rRNA from 1 species